GACGAACGCUGGCGGCGUGCUUAACACAUGCAAGUCGAACGGUGAAGCCUUUCGGGGUGGAUCAGUGGCGAACGGGUGAGUAACACGUGAGCAAUCUGCCCUUGACUCUGGGAUAACUUCGGGAAACCGGAGCUAAUACCGGAUAUGACACAUAAUCGCAUGGUUUGUGUGUGGAAAGAUUUAUUGGUCAGGGAUGAGCU
rnacentral:rRNA from 1 species